UACGUAGGGGGCAAGCGUUGUCCGGAAUUAUUGGGCGUAAAGAGCUCGUAGGCGGCUUAGUAAGUCGGCGGUGAAAUACCGAGGCUCAACCUCGGCACUGCCGUCGAUACUGCUAUGGCUAGAGUUUGGUAGAGGAGAACGGAAUUCCCGGUGUAGCGGUGGAAUGCGCAGAUAUCGGGAGGACACCCGUAGCGAAGGCGGUUCUCUGGGCCAAUACUGACGCUGAGGAGCGAAAGCG
rnacentral:rRNA from 1 species